GGUUUGCGGCAAUAUCUUGUGUCUAGUCUGGGGAUCACCAUACAGCUCACUUCCUCUGUCAUCCAGAUUUCAGGUCACCACUUCACUAAUGCUCUGACUGUAUGCAAAUUACCAACUUAAACUAUGAGGAAAAGAUAAGAGUCUAAAAAUGAAUUCAGGUUUAACCCAGCGUCUGAAUGAAGGGCUAAUGUUUCUAAGCACCAUUUAUCCAUUGGUCCAGCAUCCCACUUCAUCGCUAUGGCAUGCCAUCCUCAGAAAACUCCAACAUGGUCUCUGGAGAGCCCCAGGAAAUUGGGAAAUUGUGAUUCUGAACUGUAGUACCCUAGAAAGUGAGGGCCAUCUUUAGUGGGCUCAUGGUCUUGCUACAUUUUCAGUCUAGAUUCUCCUACCUUGGCAGUGAUUGAGCAUUUAUACAUAUUUUGUUCACUAUUCCAAAUAGGGAGAAGAAAAAACUUUAUUGACUAGAAAUGUAAACAUCUAGAUGUAUUUGCAGAUCUAAACAGGCAUUGAGCCUUCUCUGUAAGACAUAUGUCCAUCUAUUUGCAAGCAUGAUAUUUUAUAUAUGCCACUACAUCUACUAUGACAAAGUUUUACUGUCUGUGUUUAAAACCAUUUAAAACUUACAUUAUACUGCAAACUUACCAAUUUGAGCAUCACUAAUUCUCUUACUUGAACUCAAUUUCAUAGACAUAAAACUCAGAAAUUAAUUUUAAAAGAUGUUUUAUUUUGUUUUGAGUUACAAGUUCCUAUAGUAUUUGAAGUCUAUGUAAGCCACAUUAACUGGAAUUUUAUCCUCUUUGUCAACAAUGAUCUAGAAAAGCUUAAUUUAUCUUUUGAGUGAUACAUGAAGGUAAAUUUACUAUAACAGUCAACCAAGGUGACUUUGGGAACAUUACCCACAUAUCUCCCUCCUCCUGAGUAAUUUUUCUAGAGGCUGUAAAUAAUAACAUCAUUUAUUCUCUCUUUAAUUCAAAAGACACAUGUAGUCUUGUGUGUGUGUGUGUGUGUGUGUGUGUGAGAGAGAGAGAGAGAGAGAGAGAGAGAGAGAGAGAGAGAGAUGAAUUAGUCAAACAAAUUCAAUAUGGCUAUUCUAAAAUAGCAUUGGUGUCUCUUUACACAUUGAAAAUCAACUUAUCAUCUAUAUUUCACUACUGUUUCUGCUUAUUUUCUAUUUUUACUUAGCAUUUCUGUCGACCUUUAUCAGAAACAUGUGAGAUUCCUUUUCUUCUUUAUUGGUAUAAAUCACAAUAUUUUCCAGUUUCGUUUUUAGCUGUGGGGCUUAACGUCUCACCCUUUUUACUUACAUAAAAGUGCUAUACAUUUUAUUAAAAUGGUGAAAAAUAACCAUGAUGAUUUAUUUAGACCACUACUAUUUAUUCACCAUUCCCCUCCUAGUUCUGUUAUAUAACUAGCGCAGCCUGCCUUCAAGUGUGCAAUCCUCCUGCCCUCCCCUCUGCUGCACUGGGCUCACAGUGGGCACUGCUAUGUCUACUUCUAAUUACUUUAUUAACCUAAGGAAAUAAUCAUCUUUCCUUUAUAGGAGAUUACAGUGAUAGUUAUAGAGUGAGGAUAUUUUCAUAUCAAAUAAUAUCGAUAUAACGCAAGAACAUCCAAUGCAUCACCUAAUUUAGUAAUGACAUGAAUUUUCUGCAUUUUCACAUUUUAAUAAUGUCUCCAUAUCAGUGACCUACCUAACAAUAUCUGAAAGCAAACUGUCAACCCAACUUAACUAUUCUCUUUUUUUUCCUGGUUAUUCGAAUCAUUACACAUAUUUUCUUACUAUCUUUUAUAAUAAAAUGAGCAACUAUAUUUAAUUAUUAACAAGAUUUUAUCUAAAAGUUUGAAGGAAUCUAGACUCUGAGAUUCUGCACUGUAGUAAUUGGGAAAACUCACCUUUAAUAUUUUCCUUUUUAAAGAUUUCUUCCCACUUCAGGAAUGUUGUCUCAGAACCUAAUAGUGUAAUUCUUUAGAAUUUUAAAUUACAUCCUCAGUUUUAAGCGAUACACAUUAAAUAUUAGAAUUUUUUUAAAAUAUCCUUUAGCACACUGGCAUGGUUGUUUCAUUCUUUUCCAGACUUUUGGAGCCUUGCAGGACUUACAAAUAUACCUGUCAACUACUUUCACUUUGUUAAUGGUAAAAAUAUAAUUUAAUUGUUUCUGAUACUAAAUUAUAAAAGUUAUACUAUGAAAAUUCAUCUAAAAUAAAUUUAGAUUCUAUUUAACAAUAACCAAACAUAAUUUUAAAAAACAUGCAGAACAGCAGUACUAGUUUCACACACACACACACACACACACACACACACACACACACACACACACACACCAAAAUGCUCUCCCCUGCCACACACAGAGGUCUAAUAGUUUCUCUAUAUCUAAAUUUUAACAAACCCUUCUUACAUUUAAUCUUGCUCUGCUUUUUAAGUAUUACUGCUUUACUGUAAUACAAAGUAACCUAUAUUCUGGACUUACUGAUUGAUCUCUUUUAAAUUACAGGAAACAAGGUAUUUAUAUAGAACCAAUACUAAAGCCUUCUAUUUCUGAUGGUGACAGAAAAUGCUUUUUGUUUGAGAAAGGGGGAGGGACUCAAAAAUAACAUGGGCCAGCUGACUUCAUAAAGCAGACUGUCUAGCCUAGUAGUCUAUUCAUAUUGAUAUUUUUUUCAUAAUCAACUUUAGAAAUGCAAUCCUGGCAGAAAACUGUACAUACACUUCAAAAAUGUGCAAAUAUAUAAAAAUGUGUUGUGUCUGAGAAACCUAAAGACCUUUUGAUCACAUCAGUAAUUUUCUUUGUAAACCAGUGAGAUACCCCAGAUAGGCAGAGAGAAAACCCUGUAUUGACUGAAAUGAACUGUUAAAAAAGCUGUUGUUGCCCAAGCAUAAGGGACCAUGACCAUCUCUUCCUCCAAAUAAACCCUGCUGCUGGUACAGCCACUGGAGUGAUACUGUUUGUAUGAAAGCUGGCCUUUAAGUGCGGGUUGAUAACUCCCUUGUCUUCAUGAUUGCAUACACAAUCCCUGGAUGCCAAGCAUCAAAUGUAAACCCGGGAAUGGGUUUUCAAAGUCGGAACCCUCAUCCCAGUUCUGCCUCUCAGUAGCCUUGUGGCCUUAGAUAAUUUGUGGAACUUCCCUGAGCCACAGUCUUAUUUGUUUUUUUCUGUACAAUAAAGACAAUAAAAAAUUACCCAUGAGGUUAUUAUAACCUAUUACUGAAAGGAUGUUUGCAUAACAGCACAAUGGCUGAAAUAGUUGUGCUUAAAUAUAUUAGUCAUAAAAAAUAAUGUAUAACUAAUCAUGGCUCUCUUCUCUUCCAUCAAACAGGAAUGUGUGUUUUCUACUCCUGUUAAUAAUAAAAUGUGUUUAAUAAAACAUGUAAUUGUAUUUGGUCCAAUGAGAAAUGAUCUUCCUAAUCAUUAUCCCAAAGAGGAGUCUGGGCUGCUCACUGCUCUGCUCUGGUGAUCAGCAUCCAGAGUGAGGUAGCGCCUCCUUCGCUCAGACCUCCUCUCCUCCUCCCAACUUUGUAUUUAUUCAGUGACUAGUUCUGUUCUUUCUGUCUAUCCCUGUAAUUCUUUUCUAGCCCAGUGGAUACAUUGCCAAAAAUGUCAGAUGGAGACCGCUGGUUUUUUCAACAAAUGAGAGGUUUAAUGGUGGUAGAUGUGAGAAUAUAUUCUACGAAGGCAUGUAUAAUAAAGAAUUAAUUCUUUCAAUCUGUAUAUAAAAAAGUACAAGAAAAUGUCUUUGAGUCUCUACAAAUCUCAACUUCAACCAUCUAAUGAAAGCUUUUGUUCUGUAGAUGAAAACACUUUAUUAUAUACAUUUAUAUUAUAUAUUUAUAAAUAUCAAACAUUAUUUUCUGUAUUGUCCCAUGACAAAUAUAUAAUACAUCCAAGAUAAAUCAGCAGACAAACAAUUAAAAAUAUUGAGAUGUU
rnacentral:lncRNA from 1 species